rnacentral:rRNA from 1 species
GCCAGCAGCUAGCUCUCUGCAACUACAGUAUCACAUUGUCACCCACUGAAGCUAAGCAGGGCUGCCCCCGGUCAGUACCUGAAUGAGAGACUAUAUAAGAAAGCUAGGUUGCUGCUGGAU